AAUUAAAUAAAUUUUAUUAUUAAAUUAAAUUUGGUUUACAGAUUAAUUUCGGUUUACAAAACUAAACCAGAAAUUAAAAAAUAAAAUCAGACCACUACAAUUUUCCUAACUCGGUUUACACUUAACCAGACCUAAAAAACCUAGACCUAAAGAAAAAACUCCUGCCACCUCCUCCAUAGCCUUGUCCCUCUUCCAGCAGCCAUGAACUUUGAUUCCUCC
rnacentral:lncRNA from 1 species